rnacentral:misc_RNA from 1 species
AAGAAAUUAGCAGCAUUAAAAAUAUCUUCUUAAUAUUGGCAUUCUGAAAACUCAAUGCUCCAAAAUCUGAGGUAAUUCCUCGGCUGCUGUGAUUUUGGCAUAACGGCUAACUAAUCGAAUUUCUGGUUAAGGUACAUAUCUCAUGCCUCACUCCUCUUUCGUCUCUCUUUAUGUACUUGAUUUGCUUUCUGAUCCAAUUCUUAGAUCUCCAUCCUCAUCAAACCCAACUUACUUCGCUUUUGUUAUCAUUUUCGAUACCUAAUUAGGAUGAGAUUCAAAUUUUUCAUAAUUUUAAGUGUUGAUCUAGCUUGUUUUAAAACCAAAUUAACUUUUUGAAAUCUCUUCAAGAUGUUUGAUAAAAUGCCUCGAUGAAUAUGUGCUUUGUCAUGUGUCAAUUUGACAAUUUCACUACCUAUAAAUGUUGUGAGCUUGUAUUUCUUGGAUCUGCAGCAGCAAAUGAUGGAAAAAGAGGAUGAUAAGUUUUUAGUAUUGUGGCUCUAGGCUCUGCAACUAAUGAUGGAAUUGCUCGCCUUAAUGAAACGUGAAUUCUUUAUAUUCUACUCAGCUUCUUGUUUAUUUGAUUAUUCAAUGGAAAAUUGAGACAGGCAAUUAAAAGAGAAAUUACUCCAAGUAUUUUCUGAUUAUUAAUCUUUUUUUUGUUUUGAUACUUGGGUUCAGUUUUGCUAUUUACCAUUGAAGCUACUGUUAUUAUUUUUGAUUUUUUGUCAUCAUAUUCCAUGCCUUUUUGAAGUUAUGCGGAGCUAUUUCCCUAAUAUGAACUUCAUGUAGCUUUGGGGAGUUGCUAAUGUGGUUUUGGAGCAAUUCAGGAUAUUAGUGAUUACUUUCUUUUGAUGUUUCAACCAGGACAUUGUUGGAGCAUUUGAAUGUUAUAUGGGAGGUAAUUCUCUUCCAGGCAAAUAUGAAAGACCAAAACAGUUAUGUGCCGCCACCUUAUAUUCCAUUGGGACAAGCAGAUUUAGAGGCUGAGAUUGUUCCUCAAAAUGAAGGCCAUCUUGCUUCAAAUCAAACAAGUGAUGGACUGACACUAUGGUCAUCUGGAAUCUGUGCUUGUUGCGAUGAUAUGCAGAGCUGUAUGCUACUUUCUGCCUUCUGACCUUGAUUUAUCAGAAGAAAAAUAAUAUGAAGGUUGUGUGGGUCUCUUUUGUCCUUGCUAUUUGUUUGGAAAGAAUGCAGAGUUUUUGGGCUCUGGAACUUUGAUUGGCUCAUGCAUGACCCAUUUUAUUUUGUGGGCUCUUGUCAAUACUGUAUGUUGUUGCAUGACCGAUGGCAUUUUGUUGGGAUUACCUGGAUGCUUUGUUGCAUGUUAUGCCUGUGGUUACCGCAGGGCACUGCGUGAAAAGUAUAAUUUGCCGGAAGCACCAUGUGGCGACUUCACUACACAUUUUUUCUGCCACUUAUGUGCUAAUUGCCAAGAAUACAGAGAGAUUCGUGAAAGGAAUUGCAACUCUAAUUCUGCUGAUGUUAAGCUGCCAGUGGUCACAGCUCCUUCAGUUCAGAUAAUGGAGUCGAAUAAUAUUUCAGAAUAAUACUAUUGCUGCUGGAAACUUGUGGUAGGACAAACAGAUGAUUGUUGCUGUGCUUGGCUCUUUAUGUUCUUUGGCUGAUUUGUCACUUAAGCUUGAGAUGGUAUUGUUCUUCAAAUUUGUGUCACUUGAGCUGAGCUGUGUUGCUAAAGGCAUAUUAUCUUAAUAUUGUAUUAUGACAUUAAAUGAAUUGUUGUUACAUGUUUGUGAUAAUCUGCUGUCUUGAUUCCGUCAAUUUUGACACAGAUGGAAACUAUCUUUAUUUGAAGGCAGAUUGGCUGUAUAAACAGAAAAAAUAAGUGCAGUUGACAUCUCUCUCUCUCAAACAUAGAUUGUCG